UGAUCAAAGUCUUCCACAUGCUUUCAAGGCCCUUGGUGAUCCGGGACCUGCCGCCUUCUGCAGUCUCCCUACUGAUGCCAUAGUUUUGGCUUCUGGCCUCAGAUGUCCCGGGUUAUUUCUCUGCUCAGUGUCUCCUCGUACCCCUGACUCAGCUGGCUCACUGCUUUCCCAUUGGAUCUCAACCCUGUGUACCUGGGGAGAGCAGAACCCUGUAUGUCUUGUCUUGUGCUAGUAGGCGCUCAGCGUGUUUGUGCAUGCAUCUGUCCAUCCAUCCCUGCCUCUGUGCACGCAUCUGUUUUUCUUUAUACAUCACCCAGUCUCAGGCAUUCUUUAUAGCUGUGUGAAAACGGACUAAUACGGCAACAGAUCAGCCUUGCCCUGGGAAACCCACCUCCGCGAUCAUGGUAUCUCCCCUGCCAGGGAAGUAUAAGCAGGUUUUAUUAAGAUGCCAGGGCGACAGCACCAGGUCAGAGCUGCGGCAGGAACGCCAGGCAGGGGGACUGAGUGUGCGGGAGAGGGCGGGGCACAGGACAGCUGAGGGAGGGGUCAGGGUGGGUGCGCGGUGACGGGGAGGGCAAAGGUGGUGUCAGUAUCUUCAUUUUGAGGAUUGGGGUUCAGAGCACUUCUGGGGUGUCAGCUCCUCCUUGUCCCCCCGUGGGGCUCCGUAGGACUGGAAAGAGGACAUGAAGAGCUCUGACAGAGAGCAGCAGAAACUCUGGAACUGUUUCCAGAGGGCCUGCACUGCAUGGACCAGGGCCACCACCUUCUCCUUCACCCAGGCCAGAACCCCGUGCCACCAGGUCUGCAGCCGCUGCAGCAUGGCCUGGAACCAUCUCAUGACCUUGUCACAAAAGCUCUCCCCAGGCUCCUCGGUUGCGGGAUCCUCAACAUCCGGGACAGGGGAUCUGUUGCCUCGGCACCGUAAUCCAUCUCUUUCUUUUUCAAGUAGAGGAGUGAGCUCCUGUGGAAUGGGAGCACCAUUCAGGGUCUGUAGGUGGGGGUGUCAGCCCCAGGCCCUGGCCACACCCAGGCCUCUCAGCCUUUUCCUGACCCUGGGAGACGGAGGCCCACAGGUGUUGGUUUCCCAACCACAGCCCCGUGGGCAAGAGGGACU
rnacentral:lncRNA from 1 species